rnacentral:tRNA from 1 species
UCCCUGGUGGCUCAGUGGGUAAAGCAUCUGCCUGCAAUGUGGGAGACCUGGGUUUGAUCCCUAGGUUGGGAA